rnacentral:rRNA from 1 species
UACGUAGGGGGCAAGCGUUAUCCGGAUUUACUGGGUGUAAAGGGAGCGUAGGCGGUGCAGCAAGUCAGAAGUGAAAGCCCGGGGCUCAACUCCGGGACUGCUUUUGAAACUGUUGAACUAGAUUGCAGGAGAGGUAGGUGGAAUUCCUAGUGUAGCGGUGAAAUGCGUAGAUAUUAGGAGGAACACCAGUGGCGAAGGCGGCUUACUGGACUGUAAAUGACGCUGAGGCUCGAAAGCGUGGGGAGCAAACAGG